UUCAGGAAGGCGGCAAAGGCAGAAUCCAGGAUGGGCUGUCUAACUUGCAGCCUUCUCUUUGUUGUUUCUGGAAUUCUCCACAGACUGAAAUACCCCUGAGCUCAUGGAAAUGGCCUCAUGUAAUGCCUGAAGCUGGGGGAGAUGGCUCAUUGCAGCUUGAAGAGACCUCUCUGUCUUUUAGAUUCCUCCAAAAGUCUCAACCCCCCACCUGCCUCACUGUGACUCAAAGGUCCUGUGCUGGCAGUGUGGGUGUGUCUUCUCUCUCUGAGGUCCAAAUGGAACUUGUCCUUGGGAACCCCUAUUGUUAAAGCACAUGCUUGGAUUCUUUGUAUUUUGUGGAGGUUGUUUAACCCUUUCCUCAAAGUGUUAGUGGACAGAGAUUUGAAGAGCGAGAAUUUCCUGAAGACAUCUUGGAGAAUUCCUUAAAUAUUGUAAUAUCGGGGUGAGAAUCACUUAUUGAAGCUGUGAAUAGGAGAAGACCAGCCAUUUCCUGAUUUAAAUAUGGCAAAGACUACUCAGUUUUCUCUCCAUAUCUGGUUUCUCUGUGUCAUAGACUCUUAUCUUCUGUAUCAGGCCUGGAAAAGCAGAUGUGGCCAAGAUAUCAACACUAAGAAGUUCUUUGGCUGCUGACAUUAGCCGGUGGAAAUCUUUAAUUAUAUAUUCAAACAACUCUUGGUUUUUUUUCUGAAGGCCAUCGAUACCUUGGGGUUCGCAAUGUUUGUUUUCUAAAGUGAGGG